UACUAAAAAUUUUAUCUUUCUAUCAGUAGGUCUUCUAUUACACAUUGUGGUAAGUUUUUCAAUAUUUUUAUACAAACAGUAUUCUUGUUAUCUGAAUAUGUUCAAUAAAAUAAAAAGGGUAUUACAGUGAAUAAUGGCUAAACCGAACCCUGUAUAAAUCGAAAACCUGAAAAAAACCAUGUUUUAAACACCAACGGUGUGUGUUUCUGAAUCUGAUAAAACAGAACAUCGGCCAAAACCGAACGAAUUCUUAAGUUCAGAAGAAGUUCGGUUUAUAACAGGCUUUACUCUAACAGAGUAUUCCAUUAGAUAAAUUUAAGCUCAGUCAAAUAUGCAAGUAAAUUUAAUUAAAAUAUAAAAAUCUUACUUUACUUAAACAAUUUACCAAAAGUUGCUUAUUCGUUAAAUUUUAUGUAAUCUUUUUACCUGACAUUAGUCUAUUUGUUUUUCCAUCGUCUGGUUAUGAUAGACUGAUGUCUUUUGUCGAAUAACACCCUUUUUAUAACUCUCUAUAUAAUAAUAGAUACAGUACACUAUUAUUAUUCAAAUCAAACAAACAACAAACUUAAUUAAUAGGCAGAAAUAAUUUUAGAGUUUGACAAGACACACAGACAUUCGAACACCGAACAGACUAAAAUACAAACCUUGCUAGCGAUGAAAAAUCAUUGUAAAGUCACAAGUCAUAUUUAAGUGUACUGAAAUUUGAAAUCAGCUACGUUAGCCAUACGACAUUAUUUUUUACAGCCUAGUAACAAAUAUAUAUUCUGAAUUAGUUAGUCCAUUGUCAAGCACUAAUCGGGUUCUGUUACAUUUCCGUUAUAGAAUAACUUCUUUGAAAUAUUGUAUGUUGAUAUUCCACAACACAUUCUUUUCUUGGUAUUACGCUAUUAGGAACUAGUAAUUAAAUUUUAUCUUACAAUACGUCAUACCCAAUUUGUAAAUGUUCGGAUGUUUUCUUACCCCUGAACUAGACUGAUCCUGUUGAAUUUCUAACACGUUUUUGCUAAAUAAAGACUGUAAUCCUUAUAAACAACUAUGACACUUAAAAUUGAAAAUCACAAAGAACAAAAUUUAAAACCAAAAAAUCAAUACGAAUCCCUAACAAAAAUAAUUAAAAAACAAUUGUUUGACAGUCCGAUUACCCACUUCCAAUUUUAACUCAUAAAAAGUGAACUACAGUGGUAUUGGUAGUUAAUGCUCGUUAUCAAUAUAUUUUUAAAGCAAAACUAAAAUCCACUGCAAUGCUUACACGUCAAUGUGCUUUCAUACAUCAUCCAAACCCUUAUAUUGGUAAGUUAGGACUUUGGUUUAAAAACUGUUACAAGUUUUUGGAACUUCAAAUCGGCAAUCAAAAUAUAACAUUUAAUACAUACAUGCUCACUUCGCUAACUUCAGGUUUACGGUUCUUUCUAAAUUAUGCCAUAUUUGUAGACGAAACGCGCAUCUGGCGCAAAUAUAAAUUUCAAUCCUGUAUCGAUAAUGAGUUUAUUUCUAAAUAACUUGGAAUAUAAAUUCAUAUAGACGAGUUUUCAUUUCAGAAUUAUGAUGAAGAAUUGUUGUUUGAUUGUUUUCAUCUUUUGCACAAUUGAUGUGUCAAAUGGCGGCAGUAAGUAUCCUGUAUCUUUAAAACGCUGUAGUGAAGAUUAAAGAUUAGGCUGCCUGACUCUCUCAUAAUAUAAAAAGUACGAUCCUUUCACUCUGAUCAAACGUUCUGCAUUCGGUAGCCAAAAUGAGACAGACAGAGUUAAAACCUUUUUAUGUCACAGAUAUUCAAUCAUGUUAACAAAAUUAUCUACAAUUUGUUUUUAUAGUUAUUUGGGGAUACACACCUUCAGUUUACAACGAUAAUAUCAGUACUUUCGUCGAGCUACAGAGCUGUACAAAACUGUUCAACACUACUUUCCUAGGUUAACCUAAGAACAAUAACAAAAAAACUGUUUUUAAGAAGAACAAGUUUUAAAUCUUCUAAGCAGAGUUACGAGCAUCUCGAGCAAAUUCCGAAAAUUUUAUUCAUGAGAAAUCAUACUGCAACAACAAUAUAUAUAUAUAGACCUUUUCUUAAAAUUAACAAAAUUCUUCAUUGUGUCCUAUAUUCAACAUGGUUAAGCAAAUCAAUUUGAGAAAUAAACUAUGACUUUAUAUUUAUAUCCUGAUUGUGUAAUGUUAAUGUAUAUAUAUCAAAGUAAAUCAUGCUAUAUUGUAUCGGAGUACUGUACUAUUCAGUUCUUUCUGGGAUAUGCCUCGCCUCCAAUGGUACCUGUGGAAAGAAAGGUGUUCCAUGUAAUGAGACAUUCGGGUCUGAAUGGACGUACAACGGAAAAUGCUGCAAUGGCAAACCAUGUUGCAAACGUAAGUAGACAAAUAAAGCAGGCAGUAGUGUUUGUCACUGUUGAUCAAAUCGAAUGAAUGCAAAGGAAUUUCAUAGACAUAGAUAGUUAUAUUUGGACAAAAAAAAAG
rnacentral:lncRNA from 1 species